GCGCCACUAGCUCAGCUGGUAGAGCAUCCGACUCUUAAUCGGCAGGUCCCUGGUUCGAUCCCUGGGUGGCGCACCA
rnacentral:tRNA from 10 species